GGGGGGAAGGGAAGGGAUUGGGGGGGGCUGAAGUCCAGCAACCAUCCCAACCCCUGCCAUCGUUUCCUCAGUGUCACCAUGGAUGCCUAGUAAAGCACCAUCCAUAGUGAUUUCUGGAAAUUGGAGACUACCGCAGGCAGCAACCUUUCCAAUCUGGGAUAAAUAGUGAUUUUUACAACCAUGUUGAUCAUGAUAACCCUUUACCCAGAUGAUGUGGCAGGGGAACA
rnacentral:lncRNA from 1 species